rnacentral:rRNA from 1 species
AGUUGGUUGUUAUAUCUCCACUAAUAGAGCGGAGAGGGGUAAAACUCUCAAAGUAAGUUAUGUGGAUCAAGGUAUGAUGAUUUAAUUGGAGUUCUAGUUCAUUUACUUUGAGAAAAUUAGAGUGUUUUAAAAGCAGCCUCUUGGGGGCACUGAAUACAUUAGCAUGGGAUAAUAAAAUAGGAUCUUCACAAUAUAUUUUAUUGGUUUUAAAUUGGAUAUGAAGAUAAUGAUUAAUAGGGACAGUUGGGGGUAUUCAUAUUGGGUGGUUAGCGGUGAAAUGCUCGGAUCCAUUCAAGAUGAACUAAAGCGAAGGCAUUUACCAAGGAUGUUUUCAUUAAUCAAGAACGAAAGUUAAGGGGAUCGAAGACGAUUAGAUACCGUCGUAGUCUUAACUAUAAACUAUGCCGACCAGGGAUAUGAGUUGUUAGGAAUAUACGCAAGUAUAUUCAAUUUCUUCUUAUGAACCUUGUGAGAAAUCAUAAGUUUUUGGGUUCUGGGGGG